rnacentral:rRNA from 1 species
AUGAGGAUCACCAAACAAUGCAACCUGCCACUUUCUUUGGGUAAGCAUUAUCGCUCAAAUGUGUUGUGUGAUGUGGUUGACAUGGAUGCCAGCCAUGUUCUUCUUGGGAGGCCUUGGCAAUUUGAUGUGGAUACUACACAAAAGGGCAAGGAAAAUUCUUACUCUUUCAUUUGGAACAAGAGAAGGAUCAUUAUCUUACCAAACAAACCCGAAGGUAAUACCUCUAAGGAGGAGGGGAAAACUAUGUUAACUAUCUCCCAUACCUCUCAUGAGUUUAUGGAAGACUUGAAGGAAGCAGUUUGUGUGCUGCACUUGUUGUAA